AUUGAACGCUGGCGGCAUGCUUUACACAUGCAAGUCGAACGGCAGCGCGGGCUUCGGCCUGGCGGCGAGUGGCGAACGGGUGAGUAAUAUAUCGGAACGUACCCAAGAGUGGGGAUAACGUAGCGAAAGUUACGCUAAUACCGCAUACGAUCUAAGGAUGAAAAGCAGGGGAUCGCAAGACCUUGUGCUCCUGGAGCGGCCGAUAUCUGAUUAGCUAGUUGGUGGGGUAAAGGCCCACCAAGGCAACGAUCAGUAGCUGGUCUGAGAGGACGACCAGCCACACUGGAACUGAGACACGGUCCAGACUCCUACGGAGGCAGCAGUGGGAAUUUGGACAAUGGGCGCAAGCCUGAUCCAGCAAUGCCGCGUGAGUGAAGAAGGCC
rnacentral:rRNA from 1 species